rnacentral:rRNA from 1 species
UACCAGCACCCCGAGUGGUCGGGACGAUUAUUGGGCCUAAAGCAUCCGUAGCCGGUCCUGCAAGUCUUCCGUUAAAUCCAGCUGCUCAACAGAUGGGCUGCGGGGGAUACUACGGGGCUAGGAGGCGGGAGAGGCAAGCGGUACUUUAUGGGUAGGGGUAAAAUCCGUUGAUCCAUAGAAGACCACCAGUGGCGAAGGCGGCUUGCCAGAACGCGCUCGACGGUGAGGGAUGAAAGCUGGGGGAGCAAACCGG